rnacentral:rRNA from 1 species
UCAAGCUACAAAGGGCGCAUGGUGAAUGCCUUGGCAUCAGGAGCCGAUGAAGGACGUGAUAAGCUGCGAUAAGCUUCGGGUAGGCGCACAUAGCCAGUGAUCCGGAGAUUUCCGAAUGAGGGAACUCACAUGGGAAACCCCAUGUACCGUAUAGUGAAUACAUAGCUAUACGGAGGUAAACCUAGGGAACUGAAACAUCUAAGUACCUAGAGGAAGAGAAAGAAAAAUCGAUUUUCUGAGUAGCGGCGAGCGAAAGGGAAAGAGCCCAAACCAGUGACUUGUCACUGGGGUUGCGGACAGAACAUUAACGAGAAGAUGUUGUUAACCGAACAUAACUGGAAAGUUAGACCGUAGGAGGUAAUAGUCCUGUAGGUGAAAGCGACAUUAAUCAAGUUCUGAUCCAGAGUACCACGAGACACGUGAAACCUUGUGGGAAGCAGGGAGGACCACCUCCCAAGGCUAAAUACUACCUGAUGACCGAUAGUGAAGCAGUACCGUGAGGGAAAGGUGAAAAGAACCCCGGGAGGGGAGUGAAAUAGAACCUGAAACCGUGUGCCUACAACCGCUCAGAGCCCCUUAUGAGGGUGAUGAGGUGCUUUUUGUAGAACGAGCCAACGAGUUACGGUAUGUAGCAAGGUUAAGUACUUAAGGUACGGAGCCGAAGGGAAACCGAGUCUGAAUAGGGCGACUAGUUGCAUGCCGUAGACCCGAAACCGGGUGACCUAUCCAUGGCCAGGUUGAAGCGAGGGUAAAACCUCGUGGAGGACCGAACCACGUUGCUGUUGAAAAAGCAUGGGAUGAGCUGUGGAUAGCGGAGAAAUUCCAAUCGAACUCGGAGAUAGCUGGUUCUCCCCGAAAUAGCUUUAGGGCUAGCGUCGGAUAUGUGUAGUGGAGGUAGAGCACUGAAUGGGCUAGGGGGCAUAUCGCUUACCGAACCUUAUCAAACUCCGAAUGCCAUAUACAUUUAGUCCGGCAGUCAGACUACGAAUGAUAAGAUCCGUGGUCAAAAGGGAAACAGCCCAGAUCGUCAGCUAAGGUCCCAAAGUGUAAGUUAAGUGGGAAAGGAUGUGAGAUUUCUAAGACAACUAGGAUGUUGGCUUAGAAGCAGCCAUUCAUUAAAAGAGUGCGUAAUAGCUCACUAGUCGAGAGAUCUUGCGCCGAAAAUGUAACGGGGCUAAACUUACCACCGAAGCUACGGGCUUGAACUUAGUUCAAGCGGUAGGAGAGCGUCGUAACCGGGCUGAAGUCGUACCGUAAGGAGCGGUGGACUGGUUACGAGUGAGAAUGUUGGCAUCAGUAGCGAGAUGUGGGUGAGAAUCCCACAGGCCGAAAACCUAAGGUUUCCUCAGGAAGGUUCGUCCGCUGAGGGUUAGUCGGGACCUAAGCCGAGGCCGAAAGGCGUAGGUGAUGGACAACUGGUUGAUAUUCCAGUACCACUACCAUCGUUAUUAUCGAUGGCGUGACGCAGGAGGAUAGUGUGUGCUAGCUAUUGGAUGCUAGUCUAAGCGUUUAGGCAGUGAGAGUAGGCAAAUCCGCUCUCAUAAUGCUGAGGCGUGAUGGGGAAGGUUCUACGGAACCGAAGUACAUGAUUCCACGCUGCCAAGAAAAGCGUCUAGAGAGAGAAGUAGUGCCCGUACCGCAAACCGACACAGGUAGGUGAGGAGAGAAUCCUAAGGCCGGCGGAAGAAUUACAGUUAAGGAACUCGGCAAAUUGACCCCGUAAGUUCGCGAGAAGGGGUGCCUACGAGAGUAGGCCGCAGAGAAUAGGCCCAAGCAACUGUUUAGCAAAAACACAGGUCUCUGCUAAAGCGUAAGCUGAUGUAUAGGGGCUGACGCCUGCCCGGUGCUGGAAGGUUAAGGGGAACACUUAGCGCAAGCGAAGGUGUGAACUUAAGCCCCAGUAAACGGCGGCCGUAACUAUAACGGUCCUAAGGUAGCGAAAUUCCUUGUCAGGUAAG